GACGAACGCUGGCGGCGUGCCUAAUACAUGCAAGUCGAACGCAGUGGGGACGGGUGAGUAACAUGUGGGUAACCUCCCCUCAGAGGGGAUACCCUUUGGCAACAGGUGCUAAACCGAUACUGAUGGAUGGACCCGGGGUGCAUUAGCUAGUUGGUGAGGUAACGGCUAACCAAGGCCACGAUGCAUAACCGGCCUGAGAGGUUGAGCGGCCACACUGGGACGGAGACACGGCCCAGACUCCUACGGGAGGCAGCAGUAGGGAAUCUUGGGCAAUGGGCGAAAGUCUGACCGAGCAACGCCGCGUGAGUGAAGAAGGUUUUCGGAUCGUAAAACUCUGUUGUUAGAGAAGCGGUAUCUAACCAGAAAGCCACGGCUAACUACGUGCCAGCAGCCGCGGUAAUAC
rnacentral:rRNA from 1 species